GAUGAACGCUGGCGGCGUGCUUAACACAUGCAAGUCGAACGAGAAGUGGAGACGGACACCUUCGGGCGGAAGACUUUAUUUCGAGUGGCGGACGGGUGAGUAACGCGUGGGUAACCUGCCUCAUACAGGGGGAUAACAGUUGGAAACGACUGUUAAUACCGCAUAAGACCACAGCACCGCAUGGUGCGGGGGUAAAAACUCCGGUGGUAUGAGAUGGACCCGCGUUCGAUUAGCCAGUUGGCGGGGUAACGGCCCACCAAAGCGACGAUCGAUAGCCGAUCUGAGAGGAUGACCGGCCACAUUGGGACUGAGACACGGCCCAAACUCCUACGGGAGGCAGCAGUGGGGAAUAUUGCACAAUGGGGGAAACCCUGAUGCAGCGACGCCGCGUGAGUGAAGAAGUAUUUCGGUAUGUAAAGCUCUAUCAGCAGGGAAGAAAAUGACGGUACCUGAGGAAGAAGCCCCGGCUAACUACGUG
rnacentral:rRNA from 1 species